rnacentral:rRNA from 1 species
GACGAACGCUGGCGGCGUGCUUAACACAUGCAAGUCGAACGAAGUGGCGAACGGGUGAGUAACGCGUCAUCAACCUGCCCUUCAGAGGGGGACAACAGUUGGAAACGACUGCUAAUACCGCAUACUGAUGGAGCGGAUUGCGUCGGAUUAGCUAGUUGGAGGGGUAAUGGCCCACCAAGGCGAUGAUCAGUAGCCGGUCUGGGAGGAAGAACGGCCCAAUUGGGACUGAGACACGGCCCAGACCCCUACUGGAGGCAGCAGUGGGGAAUCUUCCGCAAUGGAGGAAAGUCUGACGGAGCAACGCCGCGUGAGUGAUGACGGCCUUCGGGUUGUAAAGCUCUGUUAAGCGGGACGCGGUACCGGAAUAGAAAGCCACGGCUAACUACGUGCCAGCCGCCGCGGUAAUUC